AAUGAUCAUAAUCAUGGCUCUGUUCUGAUUGAUUUAAAUCUCCACAUUUUUUUUCUUCAUACAGUACAAUGAUGGAUCCGGAUAUGUUUGCAGAAGAUCCCUCCUUCAAUGAGAAAUUCGACAUUGAUUUCGAAUUCGACGCUCCAAGAUUCUAUGAUUUUUCCAAACCGGAACUCGAUUUAGAAACAGAGGAAACAGAGCAUUGGUUUGAAUCAGCUGGAAACUAUCCUCCUUCACCAUUUAGCCUUAAUCUGAGCUGUAUAUUCGACGAUAAGCAUCUAAAGAUCCCUAAACCUGUCACAGAUAAAUACAACGGGUUCAUUUAUUACAACCAAACUGCUAAUAAUCUUCCUAAGUCGACGCAAAAGUCUAAAAACAAACCUUUCUUACGAAAGAACUCGACUUUGACGAGACCCACUGCUUCUUUAUUGGCGAGACAGAACAAACCUCUUGACAUUUACUCUGUUCAGCUUCUCACAAGAUGUCAGAGAUCAUUAGGGAGGCUCGAAAGCAAGAUUUCCCCCUCUAUCUUAUUAUCAGUGCCUCAAACACAAGAUACCAAAAGGCAAAAACUUGAGUCUGGCUUCUUGCGCAAGAUAUCACGGUUGGAGCAAACUCCCUUUGUACAUAAGGUUCCAAAGAAGUUAUCAAAAGUCACUGUUCCAAAGGAACCUAACCUUAAGACUGCCCAAAGAGCUACAAGACAGCGGUUUAAGGCUAAUUCAGCACCUGAACAGGUUGCGAGAUUUAGCUCUACAAUGACUAAAACAGUUCAAGAAAGUUCUUCUCAUAAAAAGAGUACGCCUGGCUCUCAAGAUUUUCAGAGGUUUCAAUUAAGGACAUCUCUUAGAGCCAAGGAACGUUCUUCUAGUGCUAAAAAUGCACCCAUGGAUGAUCCUACUCACUCCCUAAUGUCAAAGUCCGUUGUGUCUAGAAAUAGUAGGAGAGUGAAGGAAUCUCACAGCUCAAAGACAAAUAGUCAAGUUUAUGAAUCUAAGAUUAGCCAUCUAGAAUCAAAGGUACCAAGAAAAUUUGGUGAAGCAAUGAAAAUCAAACAUGAAAACAAUUUUCCGAGGAUGGAGAACCACCGUUGUUUUAGUUCAUUGAAGGAAUUUGAAGCUCCAAAUGUCACAAACUCUCAAGAUGAACAUUUUAUUGAAUCUCUCAGAAAUCUAUGUCUCACUUCCGAUACUGAUUUAGUUGCUCCUUGUAUCUCAUCUACAUAGAGAAUUUUCAAGAUAUUAUUUUGCUUGUACAAAUUAGACAUGACUAUGAAGAGAUUUGAGAGUUUUAAUGCGAGGGAGGAAUCAUGCAUGUUUAGCAGGACAUUCAUUAGGAAGUACCCGAUCGUUCCUUGAGUUUCACAGUUGUAUUAAAGCAUAUUAUAUAUAUGUGCUCUUAUUAGAUGGUAGAAGUUUCAUAAAUUUGCAAUGUUUGUGUUCGAUCAUCAAUGAAAUAAUGUACAAAAUUUAUACAUUGUGAUAGAAGUAGUCCUUAAUGGAUGGAUGUGUGUGCUUUAAAAAGGAGAUUGAAAGACUUUUAUCAGUGUUACAAAAAAAAAGACUUUUAUCUAACUCGUGUAAUGUGUUUUGGAAAGACAUUUUCCACAAUUUUGACAACAAACCUCCAGGCAUAUAUGGUUUCUUUCCACAUAAAACAUAAAUUGACUUAACUUAUGAUAUUAUUUAGUAUUGGUAUUGAAAUGUUGUUGAGAAUUAUAAUGAAUCAUGCAUGGAGUUUGUCUGGUAGUAGUAGGUGGAGCUCAUGGGAAAAUUGGCACCACGUAACCGACUCAUGUUGCUAUUUUAUGCUUCACAUGUUUACUCUCCCCCUUAAUCCCCUUAAGACAAAUUUGUUUUCUUUUGAACGCUCUAUUUGAACG